rnacentral:rRNA from 1 species
CCUACGGGUGGCUGCAGUGAGGAAUAUUGGUCAAUGGACGAGAGUCUGAACCAGCCAAGUAGCGUGAAGGAUGACUGCCCUAUGGGUUGUAAACUUCUUUUAUAUGGGAAUAAACUGUUCCACGUGUGGGAUUUUGUAUGUACCAUAUGAAUAAGGAUCGGCUAACUCCGUGCCAGCAGCCGCGGUAAUACGGAGGAUCCGAGCGUUAUCCGGAUUUAUUGGGUUUAAAGGGAGCGUAGGUGGAUUGUUAAGUCAGUUGUGAAAGUUUGCGGCUCAACCGUAAAAUUGCAGUUGAAACUGGCAGUCUUGAGUACAGUAGAGGUGGGCGGAAUUCUUGGUGUAGCGGUGAAAUGCUUAGAUAUCACGAAGAACUCCGAUUGCGAAGGCAGUUCACUAGACUGCAACUGACACUGAGGCUCGAAAGUGUGGGUAUCAAACAGGAUUAGAUACCCGGGUAGUC